rnacentral:rRNA from 1 species
CCUACGGGAGGCAGCAGUGGGGAAUUGUUCACAAUGGGCGCAAGCCUGAUGACGCAACGCCGCGUGGGGGAUGAAGGUCUUCGGAUCGUAAACCCCUGUCGAAUGGGACGAAAGACUCGCGAGUUAAUACUUUGCGAGAGUGACGGUACCGUUAAAGGAAGCCGACGGCUAACUCUGUGCCAGCAGCCGCGGUAAUACAGAGGUGGCAAGCGUUGUUCGGAAUUACUGGGCGUAAAGGGCGCGUAGGCGGCCUUCUAAGUCAGACGUGAAAUCCCCCGGNUUAACCUGGGAACUGCGUCUGAUACUGGGAGGCUUGAGUAUGGGAGAGGGAUGUAGAAUUCCAGGUGUAGCGGUGAAAUGCGUAGAUAUCUGGAGGAAUACCGGUGGCGAAGGCGGCAUCCUGGACCAUAACUGACGCUGAGGCGCGAAAGCUAGGGGAGCAAACGGGAUUAGAUACCCCGGUAGUCCUAGCCCUAAACGAUGAAUACUUGGUGUGGCGGGUAUCGAUCCCUGCCGUGCCGAAGCUAACGCAUUAAGUNUUCCGCUGGGGAGUCGGUCGCAAGGCUGAAACUUAANGAAUUGACGGUGUGAAGACGUGCGAGGACGACGACGAGGGAGGAGG